rnacentral:sRNA from 2 species
CCUCCUGUCAUUGGGGAGUAGCUAUCCUUCGCGCAAAGCGAGGGAGGUGGCGUCAACAAACUUGCGGUCUGUGACUGCAUGGCGUCAUUGAUCAUCAGCCGGUAUAGCAGAUGAUU